CCUAUCCUGCUCUGUUCGCGGACUGUUCUAUUAUAACCCUACAAGCUACUAAUCGGGGUCGGGAUAGUACGGUGGGCUUGCAGACCUCCCGUUAUGGCCGUGAUUCACGUUGUCAUAAUGGAAGAAGGGAGCGCGAAGCCGUGCACGAGACACCCACCUGCCUUUCGCAGGUUAUCAUUAGCGCAUUACGGCAGAGCGGGGUUCCA
rnacentral:other from 1 species